AUGAAAUCUUUGAGUAUUUCACUACUCAUCCUGUGGCUACAGUUAAACUGGGUGAGCAGCCAGCAGAAGGUGCAGCAGAGCCCAGAAUCCCUCAUUGUUCCAGAGGGAGCCAUGGCUUCUCUCAACUGCACUUCCAGUGAUAGUACUGUUGACUACUUCUGGUGGUACAGACAGCAUUCUGGGAAAAGCCCCAAGGCUCUGAUGUUCAUCAUCUCCAAUGGUGAAAAGGAAGAAGGCAGAUUCACAGCUCACCUCAAUAAAGCCAACCUGCAUGUUUCCCUGCACAUUAGAGACUCCCAGCCUGGUGACUCUGCUCUCUACUUCUGUGCAGUGAGCACACAGUGCUCCCCAGGCACCUGCAGCCUGCACUCAAACCUACUGUGCCCCAAAAGGCCUGAGAUAGAGCACACACUACCCAGUGGAGACAUUCUGUCUCUAUUCUGUAUGCAAUAA